rnacentral:rRNA from 1 species
GUGUCAGCAGCCGCGGUAAGACGAACCGUGCGAACGUUGUUCGGAAUCACUGGGCUUAAAGGGCGCGUAGGCGGCCCGCCAAGUCAGGGGUGAAAGCCCCCAGCUCAACUGGGGAAGGGCCUUUGAUACUGGCGGGCUCGAGGGGGAUAGGGGCGGACGGAACUUCCGGUGGAGCGGUGAAAUGCGUUGAUAUCGGAAGGAACGCCGGUGGCGAAAGCGGUCCGCUGGGUCCCUACUGACGCUGAGGCGCGAAAGCCAGGGGAGCAAACGGGAUUAGAAACCCCCGUAGUCC